AUGAACGCUAGCGAUAGGCUUAACACAUGCAAGUCGAGGGGCAGCACAAGGUAGCUUGCUCUCUGGGUGGCGACCGGCGCACGGGUGCGUAACGCGUAUGCAACUUGCCCUAUACAGGAGGAUAACCCGUCGAAAGACGGACUAAUACUGCGUAUGCUCACAACUUGGCAUCAAGUGGUGAGGAAAGAAAUUCGGUAUAGGAUAGGCAUGCGUCCCAUUAGCUUGUUGGUGAGGUAACGGCUCACCAAGGCAACGAUGGGUAGGGGAACUGAGAGGUUUAUCCCCCACACUGGUACUGAGACACGGACCAGACUCCUACGGGAGGCAGCAGUGAGGAAUAUUGGUCAAUGGGCGCGAGCCUGAACCAGCCAAGUCGCGUGAAGGAUGACUGUCUUAUGGAUUGUAAACUUCUUUUAUACGGGAAUAACAAGAGUCACGUGUGACUCCCUGCAUGUACCGUAUGAAUAAGCAUCGGCUAACUCCGUG
rnacentral:rRNA from 1 species